rnacentral:rRNA from 1 species
CAAUAGCGUAUAUUAAAGUUGUUGCAGUUAAAAAGCUCGUAGUUGGAUUUCUGGUGGGAGCGAUCGGUCUGGCGCUUAGCGCGAGUACUUGCAUCGUCUCCGGCCAUCCUUGGGGAGAGUCUGUCUGGCAUUAGGUUGUCGGGCAGAGGAUCCUCAUCGUUUACUGUGAAAAAAUUAGAGUGUUCAAAGCAGGCUUAUGCCGUUGAAUAUAUUAGCAUGGAAUAAUAAGAUAGGACUUUGGUACUAUUUUGUUGGUUUGCAUACCAAAUUAAUGAUCAACAGGAACAGUUUGAGGAUAUUCGUAUGAACAUGUCAGAGGUGAAAUUCUUGGAUUUUGAUCAGACGAACUACUGCGAAAGCAUUUAUCAAGGAUGUUUUCAUUAA